GAAAGCUUGGUUCGUCCAAGGACUGGCAAUGGCAUGAAGACAGCGAGCGGGAGAGGAGUGGCUGUUUGGACCGGGUGGUCGGAUGCCCCCCAUCACGGCGGCUCUCUGCCCCAGUGCUGUGCAGGCCUAGAGGAUCUCAGGAGCGCUGGGGAGUCUCAUGCAACAGUGACGGCACCAGCGUGCUGCUCUUCAGGGCUGGACCUGCUUCCGUGUGGAGAAUGAAUUAGGGGACGGGCAGGAGAAGAUUUAGGGUACCAGACAGGAGGCUCUUUAACUGCAGAGGGUGAGAGGUAACUGGCCGAGACGGGCAGUGGUGGAGGUGGAUAAAAAGUGGGUGACUGUAUUCAAAAUCUGGCUGGGCCCUGUGAUUGCUCAGGUGGGUGGGUGAGGCCAAGUGGCCGCCCAGGACGACUCCAGCCUUUGUCCAGCGUCCUGUCUUUGGACCGGAAUGAGCGCAGCGAACAUCCCUUUCAUCGUCUUAGGUUUUACCUGCCUUCCUCUUUGUGGAAGUAAGGAGUGGGGUGCCUUGCAGGUCUUCAGACAACUCUCUGUCCUGGCCACCUUCCUUGCUUUCACGGAGAGGGGACAGAUGCCAUCACGGCCUCUUCAUCUGGGGUUUCAAGUCAUCACUGGUCAGCUUCCUUGGCAUCAGCUCCUCUGUCACUUCCUUUCUCCUCUACCAGCCUUUUCCCUCUAUGUCCCCUUCUUCAUCCUGGAGGCAUCUGUUACUUAGCUCCUUAAUUUGGGUCAUUUAAGUUAUGAAUCUUCCAGGGGUCACACAUGCGUCUUUGAGUCAGGCCCUUAGAUUUCCUUCCUCCCCUUUGUCUAUGUCCUCCCCACAGGGACACGUCUUGCCUCCAAAAGAGCGUAUGCCUGUAUCUCACAUCAGGCCACAGUCAUGGCCUUUCUCUGCAAAGUAGUGUGCAAAACACUCUUGUCAAUCAAAUCGUUUAGAAAUAUAUGUUUCUGAGGUAUCCUUGUGAGGAAUCAUUUUGUGAAACGAAUAAUCCUUCUGUCCUAAUCGCUGGAUUUCCCACUCUGCCCUGCCUCUUCCUCCGUCUUGAGUGUGAAGGCUCUGUGCUCCACGCUGGGCUGUGCGGAAGAAACGUUCACGGUCUGUGUCCACAAGAAGCUGAGGGUCUCAUGCUGGCUUCUGCAGGGCAGUCCCUCCAUAUCCUGCACACCUGCAUCGGGCAUUUUACAGUAAAGCCACAUAUUUUCUGAAGCUGGGUCAAGAUUGAGCAUAUGAAAUUCCUCAAGUGUGAAAUUCUACUUAACCCCAUUAAUGCUUAUAACCCUGAGCCUUAAAUGAGGUAUCUCAUCUGAAGUUGACGGCCACUCUGUAAGGUCAGCGGAAAGGCAUUUCAAUCCCCUUGGUCAAGGCUACAGAGAUGGGGGUCCCCCCUCCUCGGUUUGCUCGCAGAGGUGGGUGUGAGAACCUAUAGGAGUGUCUGGAAGAGAUCCUGCGGAAGUCAUUUUGCCCAGAGCUGGAGGAGAAG